UUUGUACAAAGUUAAGAAUAUGCUUCCAUGAUUGGAUUCCAACGCCCCCUUGAACAUCUCAAGUUCGUUCAAUUCAAGGUUUUCAACAUCCACGUCCCAACAAAACCCACCACCAUCAUUCACCCCAUCACUAGAUUCUCUUCUCUGCCUCCAACUCCGUAGAAACCUCAGAAUAAUCCCUCUUAAAAUAUGGCGUUUUGGUGUAGUUUUUCACUAACCUAUCAGAAGUAAUUCCAUUCUCAAACCGAGCAAUUACGGAGUCCACGCUGGAGUACCCAAAAGCAAAGACGUGUUUUUCGAUCAAGGAUUAUACGAUAAUGGUGAGUUCAGUGCCAGUUAGAACACAGAUUUCACUCGCUUUCUUGAAAAGACCGACUCGACGUUUGGAAAAAAUCACUUACGUGUUGCUCAAUUUUUCAAUUUUCUUCAUUUCAAUCUUCCUUCUACCCAGCGUUUUUUUCUCCAUGAUCACCAUCUUUUCACAAGUAGAGAGAGAGAGAGAGAGUUCAAAUUUUUCUAGUGCAUACUGCGUGAAAAUAAG
rnacentral:lncRNA from 1 species